GCGCCCAUAGCUCAACUGGAUAGAGUACUUGACUACGAAUCAAGCGGUUAGAGGUUCGACUUCUCUUGGGCGCA
rnacentral:tRNA from 1 species